UUUGAGCGUCAGGGUGUCUUCUUCAGAUCU
rnacentral:piRNA from 1 species